AAGUGCUAUAUACUCGAUAUUUGAAAUGUAUGCAGGUGCAUGGACGUGCACAUGUACAAAUACCGGAGUAGUGUUCGAGUUUCGAAAGGGAGCAAAUGACGUCUGCAGUAAAGUGGGAGACGAAUAAUUAUGAUAUUUUGUAAAAGAGGGAAAAAAAUUAAGAAACAAGUGUACAAGUGUAAGUCCUUAAAAGUACGCGACAUUAUAUAUCCAGUAACGAGGUACCGAAAAGGUCCAAUUAAUUCAAGAGGAGAAGAAGACCAUCUUUUCGCAACAUUCGAGGAAAUAAGAUAUCGCAUUCUUAUUGAACAGAACGAUUCUACGUACGUCCCUGGCGUCGUGGUGCGAUCUAUUUCGGCUCGUAAGCCUGGCAAGCGGGUGCGUAAAAGAAGAAAAAGAGAAAGAAGAAGAAGAAGUAGAAGAAGAAGAAGAAGAAGAAGAAAUUACAUGGCAAAGUCAAAAAUAGCACGUGUCGGUCGGCGCCAUAUUUCCAGAAAUAAGUUCUCCGGUUACAGCAGCACCGAGAGUGAAGGUGGGGAUGCCGGAACUGGCAGAGGGGAAAUGUAUUUCGAGUUUCAAUUUAUUUUUCAUAUCGCCAAGACCUAGGUGAAACUACAAAAUCAUAGUGUACGGUAUGAUUCAAAAUACCGAUGUAAAAAAAUAUAACGAGAAUCUGCAGGUACAGAAAACUGAUAGGAACAUUUUCAUAAAAGUGGGGAUAAGGCUCAAGCGGUGGGGAUGGAAGCCUAUUUCAGUCUCAAACACUGGACCAGUCUUCAUCAGUCUGCCGCAUAUCAGCCUACCGGUCGCUUCACAUUCGGCAUUAGUAUAACAUUAGGUAUACAACAGGGACGCGGCUGGAAUUUUGCAGGGCCGUAACAUUUUCUACUCUGGUACUCCGAGUAUGGAAGCCCGGUAGAUCAUGGAGUACGGGAUAAAACUCCGCUAAACACUCGAUUUAUGAGGCUGAGACAGCGAAGCCAGCAUGAGCCCAGGCGAUUCUGAUAAAUAAUGGCCUCGCGCGACUAUGCAACGUUACGUGGAUACGCUAACGCCAUGACAUCUACAUAUGUAUAUAUAUAUAUUCUAUGUGUGUUCUAUGUGCUUGGCAACGAGAAUGGGCUAAAAUGUUGCGUCUACAUAUACGCGGAUACACUUACUGCGUUACAUAGCCACGUACAGGGCUGUACACCAGGGUAGACUAGUGUCCAAUUGUAUUCAGAAUAGUUCGUGGGCACACACGCAGAUAUCACCGCGGAAUAGAUUGGGACACAUAGGUACCCGCGGAUUUGCAUUGUUGUCAUCGCCAUUCGAAUAGUACGCGUCAACGAUCGCAGAGUAUCUAUUGUCGCGAGUAAUUCUCGCGGAAUCCCGUCGAAACCUUAUAACUUUUACUGUCCAAUUUUAUCGUUCGUCAAUGCACGAACAGCGAUUCACACGUUUCUCUGUCCGCCAUUGAGUGCGCAGAGUAGUCGAGUUGAGUAGAGACUAAACUAAAUCGCAGGACAAUAUCGGCAUAUUGGACUGAAGUAGAUAAUAGCCGAUAGUAACCGAUCGUUAUCGACCAUUCCCGAUCAUUCUGUUGGAUAGAUAUGACCACUCCUGGAUAUUACUUUGAUGGUUACUAUAUGCAUUUUUAGAGAUUUCUAUAAUGGCUAUCAGGACAAAAUAUAUUCUGGUUAGAAAAUAGAUUCGUGUUUUGCACCGUUUUCACACAGUUUCACGCUCGGUAUACGCGAGCGUUCGGGUAUGAAAUUUCAAGAGAGGGAGAGACAGAGAGAGAGAGAGAGAGAGGGAGAGAGACUGGUUGUAGUUAUACAGUAGGAAGAAAACGAAAAAGAGAUGGAAAAAAGGGAAAAUAAUUCAUCAUGUUCAGGAUAGCCCGGGGAUCGACGAAGGGCUUUCGUAAUUGCUUAAGUUUUCCUCUUUUCGUAGUUAUUAUACGGCUCGAGUACUUUUCGAUUACGAAACAUAGAUUUUUAGCAGUUUCCACUCGGUUCCAAUCACUGGGAACUUUAAACUGUUCCACGAGGGAACUCCGAUCGUUUGAAAUUCUGAGAAACUGCGGCUCAUUGUGGGUCCGACCCUUUAAAUUCUCUUGGUAUAGUUAGGUAUGUACAUGGUUCAUUUAUGUUAUACAUAUAUUCAUAGUACGUUUGUAUAUAAGGUCCACUCGAACGUGUUUCUCUAAUUCGCUUGAUUAAGCUAAAUAAAUUACACUGAUAUAAUUUCCCUAAAAUAAUAAUAUUAGCUACGGUAUUGUUGGCUAAUAUCGUCAUUUGCAUUGAUGUCAUUGUUAAUUGACGUGGCUCUGAAAUUUGGUCGUUCUAUUUAUUUCUAUUCUCAGCUUCAUUUCUCUUACUGACUUUGGGAAUGUUUACAAGAAAUACUAUGCGUAAGGUAAUAUUCAACGUGACUGCUUUAGCGCGUUCGCCAGAGUUAAUUUUCAAAACUGAGUAUUGUAUCUUGCUGUUAUAAAGUAUACACAAAUUUAAAUCCUGUUUCCCUCUUUGUCAGUGUCAUACAUCUCUCUGCAUCCUUAAUUUCAAAAUAGGUCUCCCAAGGCCUGUCCCAGUUGGAAACACCCUACAAUAAAUUAAGGGAAUAUCGUACUAUGCAUAUACCAUAUAUAUGCACUGCGCGUAGUAAACGAAUAUACCUUCGUUACAAGAAUUUUCAGCAUUUUAACUAUGUAAAUUAUAUAUCGAUAGUUCAUUAACGUUUGAGCGAAGUUGAUUUAAAUAAUUAAGUGGAUUAAUUGAAACGAAAUUUUCUUUAUUUUAUUUCCCUUCAUUACCCGCUCUGCUGGCAUUGAUCGUCAGCGCCACUCGAAUUGCAGUGUUCGCUAGGAGCUAACGUUAGUUAGGUAAUUUCAGUAAACAGUUCCUACGGGCUGCUCCAGAUGGCGUUAGUGCACUUUUCUUACUAUUAGUCCACUGCGAGGGAAGAUAGAAAUGGCCAAGGGAAAUUAUCAUCUGACUGUACUUAUUUACAUAGAAAUACGUACGUUUGUACUAUAGCUAUAUGUAAGUAUAUGCAUAUAGUAUAAUUCACGGCAAACGCAAGCGCUGAAGUUGGACGCGAUUGAACAAUUCUGUUAAUCGAGGCAGCGUGGCCUUGUUAAACAAAUGAAGGAAUGUGAAAUUCAUGAUAAAAACAGUUUUACGAUGUUAACCUUCAUUUCUUUAAUGAUGCCAGCCUGCUCCGAUUCAUGAAAUUCACGGCCAAUUUCAGUUGGUGCAUUUGCCGCGAAUAAUCCUUUAUAUACAGUGUCCAUAUUACACAAUGGUGACUUCCCAUUUUCCUCGAGUAUGUAGUGUAUAACGGAUCGGACACUUGCAACACGAUGUAUGUAAACGCAUCUGUAGCGAUGCACACAAAGGCACAUUAUACACCUGGAAUGACCUGUACACGUCACACCUGGACAGACUAGUACAUACACCCGUCACAUUCGCAUGAUAAUAAUUAUCGUUUCCAUAUGUACAUAACAUACCUGGGAGGACUCGUACACAUAUGGAAGGUCAUCUGUAACAUCUAUACCGGUGACUACAAUCAAUCGUUAUUCACUAAUUACUCCCAAUUACCACAAUGGCGACGGUUGCUCCGCUGUUCCAUGAGCAGUGCUACGUGUGAGAAUUAGUGUCCGGUUGGAUGAAAACUUGAAAUGGUCGAACAAAAAAUAUCACUCGUUUAUAAAUACAAGUUUUCUUGACAACCUGACUAAUCGAUUGAGUUUGAACGAUUAAUGGUUAGACACGCAAGCGGACAUUAUUUAAACAGUACGUGCAAUUAUACUUAUGAUCAUAAUAAGGACAGUUCUUCUUAGUAGUCCUUCAAAUAUUUUUCAGUCGUUCCUCGUAUUAUCGAACACCCCAUAGAAUUUUAUGAUAGUUCCAAAGUGCAUCUGAUGCACGCGAUGCAAUUUCUAUCGUAAUCCCUUUUUCCUCAGGGUCAUUAAAAUAGUAAAAUACUUUAGUGUUGUUUUUUCUACUUCUUGUUCUCUCUCCCCUUUUCACUCUUUGUUUUUUAUUAUCAUCGAGUUUUCACUAAUUGAACCAGUUUUCGAGAUAAGAGUGUACCCCACUAGCAUCGCUACUACCACCAUCAGCAGCCAGUCCAAAGGCUUCCAUCCUACUGCACUAUCUUGGUCGUCCUCCUUCUCCUCUCAGGGCCGUACUACUCGGCUGCAACUGCCCGCUAUUCCAAUCAUCAUAAAUUGCUGAGGCGAACGUGACAAUUGUACAGAGGAACCAAUGAAUGCAGUGUCAUUCGCUGCUUCUGCACAUGCAAGCUAUUCUCCCUGACGUAAGAGAGAUAGACUGACGGAGGACGAGGGUGGAAAAUCAAAGGUUGAAAAUUCCGCAGCAGUGAAAUUGUUGCCGAUUUGUCGAUUCAUUUGAUUUCUGUUCCGUUCCGUGUGCUUGCUUGUCGACCCGUCUGUCUGCCUGUCUGUCCGUCUGUCUAUCAGCAACUGGAAAUAUAUAUACCCUGACCCUUCCGUUAAAUGGAUUAAAUAAUAUCGAACUGUGUCAAACGUUUGACAUGGAAAUAGUUGCAUCUCGCUCGCUGCACACCGCACGAUGUAUAUUUCAUGUUUCUCGGUCCAGCAACCUUCCUUCUUUUUCUGUCAUUCCACCCUUCCCGUUCAUGAAACCAUUUCGUGAAAAACACUUGCACGUGUCGUGUAGCUGCCUCUGGAACCAAUCCGCACCAUAUCGUGGAUCUGCAGUUUUGCAAAAUAUGUGUUCAUAUUUAAAUUUUUUACGGACGUUCGAUUUUGAAAAUUUUAU